rnacentral:sRNA from 1 species
UUCUACACCCCGCCGCGACUGACGCUCGUCGAGCACGCCGCGAUGGAUUGCUGCGAGAUAGAGCUUGAUGUCGCGGUGGGCGCGG